rnacentral:rRNA from 1 species
GGUUCAUUCAAAUUUCUGCCCUAUCAACUUUCGAUGGUAAGGUAUUGGCUUACCAUGGUUUCAACGGGUAACGGGGAAUUAGGGUUCGAUUCCGGAGAGGGAGCCUGAGAAACGGCUACCACAUCCAAGGAAGGCAGCAGGCGCGCAAAUUACCCAAUCCCGACACGGGGAGGUAGUGACAAUAAAUACUGAUACAGGGCUCUUUUGGGUCUUGUAAUUGGAAUGAGUACAAUUUAAACCUCUUAACGAGGAACAAUUGGAGGGCAAGUCUGGUGCCAGCAGCCGCGGUAAUUCCAGCUCCAAUAGCGUAUAUUAAAGUUGUUGCAGUUAAAAAGCUCGUAGUUGAAACUUGGGUCUGGCUGGCAGGUCCGCCUCACCGCGUGUACUUGUCCGGCCGGGCCUUCCUUCUGGAGAACCUCAUGCCCUUCACUGGGCGUGUUGGGGACCAGGACUUUUACUUUGAAAAAAUUAGAGUGUUCAAAGCAGGCCUUUGCUCGAAUACGUUAGCAUGGAAUAAUAGAAUAGGACGUGCGGUCCUAUUUUGUUGGUUUCUAGGACCGCCGUAAUGAUUAAUAGGGACAGUCGGGGGCAUCAGUAUUCAAUUGUCAGAGGUGAAAUUCUUGGAUUUAUUGAAGACUAACUACUGCGAAAGCAUUUGCCAAGGAUGUUUUCAUUAAUCAGUGAACGAAAGUUAGGGGAUCGAAGACGAUCAGAUACCGUCGUAGUCUUAACCGUAAACUAUGCCGACUAGGGAUCGGGCGAUGUUCUUUUUCUGACUCGCUCGGCACCUUACGAGAAAUC